ACAAGCUAAUUACGGUCAUUAAACCCUAAUAAUAUACCUUUUCUUCCUUAAUUAUAAAGAGAUGUGCUCAUGUGUCUCAUCUGUCACUCUUCUUUUUCUAAAUAAACAAUUCAGUGAGGAGAACAGAAGAGGCUUUCACUGCUUAAAACUCUCAGCAUAUAUUGCAGCUAUCAUUAUUGUCUGUUUGAUUUACAGAGCAGCACUUCAAGUGUCUAACUUCUGAAAUUGUUUCAAUGACAAAUUUCAAGCCCGAUUUGAAAAUGGCACUGUGUUGUAUCACUGCUUCUCAUCUUUUUUAUUAUGUUUUUCUGAGAGUAUUUUUCCAGAUCUGUCACACUUGACUCUGUCGUCAUCAAUAAUGUGCCAAUGUCGGGGAAGCUAAAUCAUAAAAAGGAUAGCUAAGACAUACAGUAUUCUUCACUUCUUUUGUGAUUCGGCUCCUCGGGGAUGCUUCUGCACAAUAUGAGAUAAGCGCCUCCUCCUGGCAGUUAUUACACCUGGCAGACUGCUUCCUGAGGCACACAUCCUUCAGUUCUUGUUUAUCCGAUCAGCCUUAUCUCAACGUAGCCAUUGCCACAAAAUAUCCAGCCAGCAGUAGGAUCCCAUCAGGCUCAAUGCACACUGCUGAAGAUGUUAAUGUUAAACAUGAGCAAACUACAAAUGUAAAAUGAGUCAAAUAGCACUAAGCACAAUGGUGACAUUCAGUGUGUUGCUUCUUCUUCUUUCUUUCUUUCUUUUUUUUUUUUUAUCAUAAAACUCCCUAAAACUGGAAGCAAUACUAAUACAUGAACAGCAUUUCAUCCUGGUUCAGACAUUACAGUUUACCCAGUUAGGACAAACCUGGGUUUGUUUGAUGAAUGACUAGAUGUUACUGUGAGUUACUAAACUGGUGUUAUAAUGAAUUUGACAUUUUAGUCAUCAUUUAGAAACUGCAGAAAGAUGAAGGCACUUUUGAAGGUUUCCAUGGUACCAGAGGAUUACUGGCUUUUUACUGUUAUUUAACAAAGAAAAUGUCUUAAAUGUUAAAUAUUUAAAUGUGCGCUGUCUGCCCUGCUGACAACCUGUGGUCAAAAUUUCCUGAAUUCUCCAACUGAGUUUGGAAGGGAAAAAGAAGCAAAUAACAGGUUGUGUGCUUGCUCAAAAAGAUCUGUGCAGCUAUGUCUUUUUUUUUUUUUUAAUCAACCAACACUUAAUAUAUACACACUAAAACCACUUUAUGUCCUUAUCACACACACUUUAUGUGUGUGUAUAUAUAUAUAUAUAUACACACACACACACACACACACACACACACACACACACACAUAUUGGUGUACUACUUGUGGUCAAAACUUCCUGAAUUUCCUGUAUAUAUUAUCACAUCCUCUUCCUUUACAAAAACAGAAUAAUUAGUGUGUUGUGCAGACUUUGUUAGUAAAGUAACUUCGAGCUUGGUUUGUUUAUAAGUGUGAAGCUCAAUGUGAAGCAGUGGACCACUAGUAGUUAUUUUUUCUUUUUUUCAUUUACAGAGUAACAUAUUUUUUAAACUGCUUUUUAGUCUUCUUCUUCUUCUUUGAAGUUGUUCCCAUCCUAUCCCUAAUGUCCUCCUCUGUUACACCAAUCAUCUACAUGUCUUCUUUUACCACUUCCAUGAAUCUCUGUGCUUAUCUUCUUUUCCUCCUGCCUGGCAGCUCCAUAUACAAUGUCCUUUGUUCAAUAUAUAACCACCAUCCCUCCACUCCACAUGUCCAGAGUACCCCAACCUUGCCUCUCCAACUUUGUCUCCAAAUCACUCAACUUGAGCUGUUUGCAGGUUGCUCCGAGAAAAAGUGAACCUUAUUUUACCUCUAUCACAUGAAAGUCUCUUAUGGGCUCCUCCCUCUAGUUUUUGAGCCACACUUCUAUUUUUAAAUGCUCUGUGUGCUGAUAAAUUCAAGGAGGAAACGCGCUGUCAAAGAAAGAUUUGCACAAGGGUUGAUGGAGAGGAGCUGUGGAUGCCUCGGGCUCAGCGGUCUGAAAUGUUGUGCUUUGUAGAUUGUAAGGAGAUUGAAAGUGGGUGCCUUGCCAAUGUAUAUGCAUUAGAGAGAGUCUGAAGUACUGACAAUCUUAGAAU
ensembl:lncRNA